AAUUGUAUUUAUAGAACACUUUAUUUUGUCUGUGUUCUAUUUUUUGUGCUGUAUUUGUUGUGUUACAUUCUGUCAGAAGAGGGAGCCAGUAGCUCAUUCAAGACUCAUAUGGAUUUCACUGAGAGCUUGUGAUUGUCUUCCUACUUCCUUCCCUUUGGUUUAUUUGUUACACUGAUACACGAGUCUUAAAUAAACAAUGCUUUAAAAGACCUUUUAUUCAUACUUGCAUGCUGAAAAACUGAAAUUUGACAUCUGAACUGAUACGUUUUUACUGUUGAAUUAUAGUAAGAUCGGUAAAAAUAAUUAUUAAUGCUACAGUAAAGUGAAAA